rnacentral:rRNA from 1 species
UACGUAGGGUGCAAGCGUUGUCCGGAAUUAUUGGGCGUAAAGAGCUCGUAGGCGGUUCGUCACGUCGGCUGUGAAAUCCCGAGGCUCAACCUCGGGUCUGCAGUCGAUACGGGCGGACUUGAGUACUGCAGGGGAGACUGGAAUUCCUGGUGUAGCGGUGAAAUGCGCAGAUAUCAGGAGGAACACCGAUGGCGAAGGCAGGUCUCUGGGCUGUAACUGACGCUGAGGAGCGAAAGCAUGGGGAGCGAACAGG